AAUUAACUUGAUUCCCAUGUUUGAAAAAUAGACUGACUUCUGAAGAAGCAAAAGCCAGCUUAGCUGGUAAGGACUACGAAAGUCAAUGCUUACAGUGUGCACAUGGGAACAGAAUCGCUUCUUCAGGUUGGCAUAAGAUAUUUCGGAAAGGAAGGACUAGCCACCUCCAUACCAACAUAGAGAGACUUCACAAUGUAUAAGCCUCCAUUAUAAAUUGAAAAACCUAAUCGCAAUCCAUGCUGAGAUUAGAUCUCCAAGAAAUGCAAAGCUCAACCAUUAGAGAUCAAACACAAUCACAUCUUUCUCCCUUCACCCACUACCUUCUUGAAUUGCACUUGCUAUCUUCUUGGCCAUAGAUUGGAGGCAAAAAUCAACGUAAGAGCUCAAAUCCUGGAGCUCCCAACCCUCAACUGGAUCAGACA